AGAGUUUGAUUAUGGCUCAGGAUGAACGCUAGCUACAGGCUUAACACAUGCAAGUCGAGGGGAAACGACAUCGAAAGCUUGCUUUUGAUGGGCGUCGACCGGCGCACGGGUGAGUAACGCGUAUCCAACCUGCCCACCACUUGGGGAUAACCUUGCGAAAGUAAGACUAAUACCCAAUGACGUCUCUAGAAGACAUCUGAAAGGGAUUAAAGAUUUAUCGGUGAUGGAUGGGGAUGCGUCUGAUUAGCUUGUUGGCGGGGUAACGGCCACCAAGGCUACGAUCAGUAGGGGUUCUGGAGAGGAACGGUCCCCCACAUUGGAACUGGAAGACACGGUCCAAACUCCUACGGGAGCA
rnacentral:rRNA from 1 species